rnacentral:tRNA from 1 species
UGGCCAUUCGUUGAAGCGCCCACCAGCUUUUCAACGGCUGGCCGGCGUCGUGGUCUCGAAAGAUCGUCACCUCCAUGGCUAUC